rnacentral:piRNA from 1 species
GAGGAAUCUUGGGAUGUUGUA